AGGGGCACCAUAUGCACUCGACGGACCCACGAUUUUCCAAAGCAGGUCAAGCCGGCAUCGGGUCAGAAGAAGAGAGGGUCACCACGUGCACUCGACGGACCCAAGAUUUGCCAAAGAGCAAUAGCGGGAUAUCAUGCGGCUGGAUCUCGGAGUCGCUCCCCCACACAGCUUACCUUGGUAUGCCCUUCAGCCCUUGCAGACCUCGGCACUGCAUUCUAGCCCCGACUUCCUCUCCU
rnacentral:lncRNA from 1 species